rnacentral:rRNA from 1 species
CGUGCCUAAUACAUGCAAGUAGAACGCUGAAGAGAGGAGCUUGCUCUUCUUGGAUGAGUUGCGAACGGGUGAGUAACGCGUAGGUAACCUGCCUGGUAGCGGGGGAUAACUAUUGGAAACGAUAGCUAAUACCGCAUAAAAUGGAUUAUCGCAUGAUGAUUCAUUGAAAGGUGCAAAUGCAUCACUACCAGAUGGACCUGCGUUGUAUUAGCUAGUUGGUGGGGUAACGGCUCACCAAGGCGACGAUACAUAGCCGACCUGAGAGGGUGAUCGGCCACACUGGGACUGAGACACGGCCCAGACUCCUACGGGAGGCAGCAGUAGGGAAUCUUCGGCAAUGGACGGAAGUCUGACCGAGCAACGCCGCGUGAGUGAAGAAGGUUUUCGGAUCGUAAAGCUCUGUUGUAAGAGAAGAACGAGUGUGAGAGUGGAAAGUUCACACUGUGACGGUAUCUUACCAGAAAGGGACGGCUAACUACGUGCCAGCAGCCGCGGUAAUACGUAGGUCCCGAGCGUUGUCCGGAUUUAUUGGGCGUAAAGCGAGCGCAGGCGGUUAGAUAAGUCUGAAGUUAAAGGCUGUGGCUUAACCAUAGUACGCUUUGGAAACUGUUUAACUUGAGUGCAAGAGGGGAGAGUGGAAUUCCAUGUGUAGCGGUGAAAUGCGUAGAUAUAUGGAGGAACACCGGUGGCGAAAGCGGCUCUCUGGCUUGUAACUGACGCUGAGGCUCGAAAGCGUGGGGAGCAAACAGGAUUAGAUAC